rnacentral:rRNA from 1 species
GGAACCUGGUUGAUCCUGCCAGUAGUCAUAUGCUUGUCCCAAAGAUUAAGCCAUGCAUGUCUAAGUAUAAACUGCUUAUACUGUGAAACUGCGAAUGGCUCAUUAAAUCAGUUAUAGUUUAUUUGAUGGUACUUUCUACUCGGAAUAACCGUAGUAAUUCUAGAGCUAAUACGUGCGUAAAUCCCGACUUCUGG